GGAUUGAUACAUCGGUCGUGCCUUAAGGGGUAUGAACUGGCGUAGCCAACUCUUCACCUUCUGGUGAUUUGUGAUGCCUCCUUAACUGGGUGUUUCAAUGAAUUAGGACUUUUACUUUGAAAAAAUUAGUGUGUUUAAAGCAGGCAUUAUUUGCUUGAAUACAUUAGCAUGGAAUAAUAAAAUAGGACAAUGAUUCUAUUUUGUUGGUUUCUAGGAUCACCAUAAUGAUUAAUAGGGAUAGUUGGG
rnacentral:rRNA from 1 species